CCGGAGCGGAGUGUGAUUUUAAUCUGAAGUAAAAACGCGUUUAAAAGUGGAAAAACGAAAUAGUAAAGUGUACCGGAGCUCCACGCGGUCUCAGAAACACACCACCCUUGAGUGAGACUGUCACAUGUUUGAUAUGAAUUGUGAUGGUUUGUCAGUCACAGAGAAGCUCACCCACUGGGCUCCAUGACCCACAAUGGAGCAGUUCCCAGUACGCUUGCAGUGUCAAGCGCUGAUAUCAGCUUAAUCAUAAUUAUAAAGGAAAAGUGUUUCUGGAUGAAGUCCAAACUGCUGCCUUGAUGACGGCUGGGGAAGUCACAGCAUUGGGCCGAAGGUGAUGCAUCAUGGUCAUCCUUGCGGGGAGGCGGUGGUGGGGCACAAGUAAACACUCUUAAAUCAUCAUCCUGCGACAGAUGGGGGGUGUCACAUGACCCCCCUCUCUCUCCACCAUCCCUUCUGCCUCUCCCUCAACACACACAAUCAACGGUCAAAGUGACGAGACAAAUGAGACCGACUCCAGGCCACAUUUGUUGCAACAAUUUGUGAAUAAGUUCAGAUUUUCUUCUUUGUUUGAUCAAUUGUGAAUUAGACAAAAGCCAGACAGGCCACGAUACUAUGACACCACGUGGGAAGUGUGAAUCUUGUUCCUCAUGAGCCAGACAGGAUUA